GAAUGCCGGUGUGAGUAGCGAAAGACGGGUGAGAAUCCCGUCCACCGAUUGACUAAGGUUUCCAGAGGAAGGCUCGUCCGCUCUGGGUUAGUCGGGUCCUAAGCUGAGGCCGACAGGCGUAGGCGAUGGAUAACAGGUUGAUAUUCCUGUACCACCUAUAAUCGUUUUAAUCGAUGGGGGGACGCAGUAGGAUAGGCGAAGCGUGCGAUUGGAUUGCACGUCUAAGCAGUAAGGCUGAGUAUUAGGCAAAUCCGGUACUCGUUAAGGCUGAGCUGUGAUGGGGAGAAGACAUUGUGUCUUCGAGUCGUUGAUUUCACACUGCCGAGAAAAGCCUCUAGAUAGAAAAUAGGUGCCCGUACCGCAAACCGACACAGGUAGUCAAGAUGAGAAUUCUAAGGUGAGCGAGCGAACUCUCGUUAAGGAACUCGGCAAAAUGACCCCGUAACUUCGGGAGAAGGGGUGCUCUUUAGGGUUAACGCCCAGAAGAGCCGCAGUGAAUAGGCCCAAGCGACUGUUUAUCAAAAACACAGGUCUCUGCUAAACCGUAAGGUGAUGUAUAGGGGCUGACGCCUGCCCGGUGCUGGAAG
rnacentral:rRNA from 1 species